UUUUGUUUCAGUCUGAGUGUACUGAUGGUAGAUUGUUUAAUCAUUUACUAACAAUAUGGCAGUUUAGUCCUGGCGUACCUGAUAUUCCCAAUACCUGUGUACUAGAUUUCUCUGUGUCAUUUGAGUUUAGACAUGCUCUACACUCUCAGUUAUCUGCAGUUUUCUUUGAUACAGUUGUGAAAGAGAUGGUGAACUCUUUUCUUAAACGAGCUAAGCAAAAAUUUGGAGCUCCAUCUAUACGAGCUCAAAAACCCAAAGUCCUAAUCUACAAUAGUUAAUGAAGGCUGAACUUAGAUAACUUGGAAUGAUAUGAUCAAUAAUAAUGUACCAGUGAAUGCCAAGAAAUUGUGAUACUUGUAUUUGUUGUUAUUUGUACUACAAUAUUUUAAUAUUGAAUUAAAACUUGAUUAAGAUAUUUAGUGAUAUAACAUUAUAUAGAUAUUUAUUGAAAUUUUAUAAUUUUGAAAAUAGAUUGACCCUGCUUUUUAACAUAUUCUUGUAAAGAGAUGUAUUGUCACAGAGAUGAUUUUUUUUUUUAUUUCUAGGAAUAUACAUGUUAAAAGCAUUGUUUUAUUUUUGGUAUAAUUCAUAGGGUGGUGUCUUUUUACAAAGGAAUAUGCCACUUGUUUUUAAAAGGAACAUGAGAUCAGCCCUUAUCUAAUUUUAGAGAAAAUUACUUCUUAAAUUAUCUUUAUUGUAGUAUGCAGGUAUUUAUCAUUGUUUGAUCUUCCUAUACAUGCUAUAAGCAAUCUGCCCUAGAAUCAAUCUUUGGUGUUCAUGUGAUGUUAAUCCUGUCUUUCUUUCUAAAUAUAUAUAUGUUGACCAUUAAAUGUAGGUGUAACAUUUGUUUUUGAUAUAUUGAAUAUGAUAUACAUUGUAAAUCAAUAAGUAAAGUAUCCAAUUAAUAUUUUAUAGAAACAAAUAUUUUUUUAAUAACAAUAAUGCAGAAAAAAACAAACAUUUUUAUUAAUGAACACAUCAUUAAAGAGGUUUAUUUGACAGGUUUUAGAAUAAGAUAUAUUGCAUUUCUACUUUAAAAGUAUUUAACAUAAACAAUAACCAUUGUAACCAAGGAUUAGAACUAUUAUAAUGACAUCCUUCAUGGAAUGCUCAGGUUUUGAUUGUUAUUUUAAGAAGGGUUAUGUGGAAAAAUAAAACAAAUUACCUGAUUUCUAAAGAUCUUUUUAUAGUAACAAAACUAUUUUUCCACCUCUCACAUGUGCAUUUGCUUAGAACCAUGUUGAUAUUGUUUUUAGGUUUCCUUGAUUUUUAUUGGACCUUCAAAGGAUAGUUAAGAAUAUAACUGAAAUAAUUGUGUGUGAAUACUGUUAUAUUUUUCCAUUCAUGAAACAAUUCAUUAUUACAGAACACAUACUAGAUAGUAACUACUUAUCUUGAAGAGAUGCACCCUGUUCCGUGUUUAUUAAAUGGUGAAUUCAUUAAUGGAAUGUAUAGUUAAAAAUUACAAAAGCAACUGCAUUGAUGUCUGUGUCAUGGCUUUAAGAAUUAAGAUUUCAAUGAAAAUGAUUUCAGUUUCUAGUAUAUGUUAAUAUAUUAUUUAUUUUCAUUAAUUUGGAAGACGGUUGUUGAACAGAUUGUCAUUGGUGCUUUAAAAAAGUUCUGUACUGUAGUUGUUUUUUUGUCACUUCAUCAAUUGAUAUGAAAGUAACAGCAGCUUUGUUUUGUUUAAGUUUUAUUAAAUUUGAUAAACUGUAUAUCAACUGAGA